rnacentral:rRNA from 1 species
UACAGAGGGUGCGAACGUUGCUCGGAAUUACUGGGCGUAAAGCGCGUGUAGGCGGAUCGGCAAGUCAGGCGUGAAAUCCCCAGGCUCAACCUGGGAACUGCGCUUGAAACUGCCGGUCUUGAGUGUCGGAGAGGGUGGCGGAAUUCCUGGUGUAGAGGUGAAAUUCGUAGAUAUCAGGAGGAACACCGGUGGCGAAGGCGGCCACCUGGACGACAACUGACGCUGAGACGCGAAAGCGUGGGGAGCAAACAGGAUUAGAACCUCCGGUAGU